rnacentral:rRNA from 1 species
AACCUUUGACAUGUCCCGUAUGGGUACCAGAGAUGGAACCCUUCAGUUCGGCUGGCGGGAACACAGGUGCUGCAUGGCUGUCGUCAGCUCGUGUCGUGAGAUGUUGGGUUAAGUCCCGCAACGAGCGCAACCCUCGCCCUUAGUUGCCAUCAUUCAGUUGGGCACUCUAAGGGGACUGCCGGUGAUAAGCCGCGAGGAAGGUGGGGAUGACGUCAAGUCCUCAUGGCCCUUACAGGUUGGGCUACACACGUGCUACAAUGGCGGUGACAGUGGGAUGCAAUGGGGCAACCCUGCGCAAAUCUCAAAAAGCCGUCUCAGUUCGGAUUGCACUCUGCAACUCGAGUGCAUGAAGUUGGAAUCGCUAGUAAUCGCAGAUCAGCACGCUGCGGUGAAUACGUUCCCGGGCC